rnacentral:lncRNA from 1 species
AUGAGACUCGCAGCUGAGAGCUCUCCUCAACGCCAGGCAGCCUCACUUGCCAGACUUGAAGCAGGGGAGCCUGACUCGCCCCAAGAAAACCAGGGAAAACUGCUUGUUUCCUACUCGUUGCGAGGGCAAGAGAACCGCAGUGCCAUUCAAACCAGAAAGUGCAGACUGGCGCCCACAGGUAGAGGAAGAAGACCCCACUGGAUACAUUUGAUUGAAAAAUUUCUCCCAGUGAUGACCGAAGUACUGCUGGAAAGAAGUCUUAGAUCCAGCUAAACAUGGUCCUUUCUAAGGAAGAACUGAUCAAGAUAUGACUGAAGAAGGUGAGCCUUUUUCUCAGGCGGAAAUGGAAGAAAUGUUGUCUGCUGCAGUUGAUCCAGAAUCGAAUUCAGUUGAUUACAAGGACUACGUAACAAUGAUGGUGGCAGAUGAGACUUAAACACUUUAAAGACUUAAUUUCCAAUUGAAAGGAUAAUUUAAAAAAUUGUCCUUGUUAAUUUCACAUUUUAUCUUAUCAUUUCUACAUAUGAUAACUAAUGCUUUGUGACAGCUAUUUCAAUAUAUUUUGUUUUUUAAAGAUGAUCAUAAUAAUUUAAAACUCUUUAAAUAUUUAAACUAUUUAACAUUUUAACUAUUUAACAUAUAAAGAUUUAAAACUAUUUGAGCUGUUUAAAACAUCAAAUUAAAAUUUAUUUGUCUAGCCUCAUGGAACGACAAAUUGCUAAUUUUUUUGAAACUAUUCUUAAAACAUUUUAACAUUAUUUAUCUAUUGUUAAUUUUCUAUAAUAAAACUCAGAUUACCUGCA